GUCAGCCUUGGCAUCUCCAUUUUCAGCAGGGUUGCUGCCCUUCUUUCCCUUGGCUGCCUUCUUAGGGGCGGCUUUCUUGGCCUUUGGUUCUGGUUUAGGAGGAGCUGGUUUAGCAGACAACCUCGCGGAGCGUCUUGUUGGCUCCUCCUUGCCUUUGGCGCCCUUCUCACCAUCAAUCUUUCUUUUGGGCAUCUUGGCUGCAGAAAAAACCCGAAAAAAUGGCAAAAAAAAUCUGAGUGUGGGUGUGUAUAGUAUGCUCGUCAGCAGCGGC
rnacentral:misc_RNA from 1 species